AUUUUUUUUUUUACACUUUUUUAGCAUUGUAAAAUCAAAACUGUAAGCUCUUUUGCUAAAAGCACAAUCUGUUAUUACUUAUUUUAAAAAAGUUAUCUUUCAUUAUGUUGUCCUUGACAUUGUUUAGUUUUCUAUUUAUUUAAAGAUCUCUUCAAACCUACCUCUUUUAAUUUCUUGUUUUCCUUUAGGUUUUCUUAUAUUGCCUCCACAUCACUUUCUCUUCUUUUUCUGUUUCUG